rnacentral:rRNA from 1 species
AAAUUGAAGAGUUUGAUCAUGGCUCAGAUUGAACGCUGGCGGCAGGCCUAACACAUGCAAGUCGAACGGUAACAGGAAGCAGCUUGCUGCUUUGCUGACGAGUGGCGGACGGGUGAGUAAUGUCUGGGAAACUGCCUGAUGGAGGGGGAUAACUACUGGAAACGGUGGCUAAUACCGCAUAACGUCGCAAGACCAAAGAGGGGGACCUUCGGGCCUCUUGCCAUCAGAUGUGCCCAGAUGGGAUUAGCUGGUUGGUGAGGUAACGGCUCACCAAGGCGACGAUCCCUAGCUGGAGUGAGAGGAAGACCAGCCACACUGGAACUAAGACACGGUCCAGACUCCGACGGGAGCCAGCGGUGGGGAAUAUGGCAUAAUGGGCGCAAGCCUGAUGCAGCCAUGCCGCGUGUAUGAAGAAGGCCUUCGGGUUGUAAAGUACUUUCAGCGGGGAGGAAGGUGUUGUGGUUAAUAACCGCAGCAAUUGACGUUACCCGCAGAAGAAGCACCGGCUAACUCCGUGCCAGCAGCCGCGGUAAUACGGAGGGUGCAAGCGUUAAUCGGAAUUACUGGGCGUAAAGCGCACGCAGGCGGUCUGUCAAGUCGGAUGUGAAAUCCCCGGGCUCAACCUGGGAACUGCAUUCGAAACUGGCAGGCUUGAGUCUUGUAGAGGGGGGUAGAAUUCCAGGUGUAGCGGUGAAAUGCGUAGAGAUCUGGAGGAAUACCGGUGGCGAAGGCGGCCCCCUGGACAAAGACUGACGCUCAGGUGCGAAAGCGUGGGGAGCAAACAGGAUUAGAUACCCUGGUAGUCCACGCCGUAAACGAUGUCUACUUGGAGGUUGUGCCCUUGAGGCGUGGCUUCCGGAGCUAACGCGUUAAGUAGACCGCCUGGGGAGUACGGCCGCAAGGUUAAAACUCAAAUGAAUUGACGGGGGCCCGCACAAGCGGUGGAGCAUGUGGUUUAAUUCGAUGCAACGCGAAGAACCUUACCUGGUCUUGACAUCCACAGAAGAAUCCAGAGAUGGAUUUGUGCCUUCGGGAACUGUGAGACAGGUGCUGCAUGGCUGUCGUCAGCUCGUGUUGUGAAAUGUUGGGUUAAGUCCCGCAACGAGCGCAACCCUUAUCCUUUGUUGCCAGCGAUUAGGUCGGGAACUCAAAGGAGACUGCCAGUGAUAAACUGGAGGAAGGUGGGGAUGACGUCAAGUCAUCAUGGCCCUUACGACCAGGGCUACACACGUGCUACAAUGGCGCAUACAAAGAGAAGCGACCUCGCGAGAGCAAGCGGACCUCAUAAAGUGCGUCGUAGUCCGGAUUGGAGUCUGCAACUCGACUCCAUGAAGUCGGAAUCGCUAGUAAUCGUGGAUCAGAAUGCCACGGUGAAUACGUUCCCGGGCCUUGUACACACCGCCCGUCACACCAUGGGAGUGGGUUGCAAAAGAAGUAGGUAGCUUAACCUUCGGGAGGGCGCUUACCACUUUGUGAUUCAUGACUGGGGUGAAGUCGUAACAAGGUAACCGUAGGGGAACCUGCGGUUGGAUCACCUCCUUACCUGAAAGAAGC